CUCCGACUUCAUGGGGUCGAGUUGCAGACCCCAAUCCGAACUGAGACCGGCUUUUUGGGAUUCGCUCCACCUUACGGUAUCGCAGCCCUCUGUACCGGCCAUUGUAGCAUGCGUGAAGCCCAAGACAUAAGGGGCAUGAUGAUUUGACGUCAUCCCCACCUUCCGCCGAGUUGACCCCGGCAGUCUCCCAUGAGUCCCCGGCAUAACCCGCUGGCAACAUAGGACGAGGGUUGCGCUCGUUGCGGGACUUAACCCAACAUCUCACGACACGAGCUGACGACAACCAUGCACCACCUGUGUACGAGUGUCCAAAGAGAACCCCGUCUCGGGGGCUUUCUCGUACAUGUCAAGCCUUGGUAAGGUUCUUCGCGUUGCAUCGAAUUAAUCCGCAUGCUCCGCCGCUUGUGCGGGCCCCCGUCAAUUCCUUUGAGUUUUAGCCUUGCGGCCGUACUCCCCAGGCGGGGCACUUAAUGCGUUAGCUGCGGCACGGAACUCGUGGAAUGAGCCCCACACCUAGUGCCCAACGUUUACGGCAUGGACUACCAGGGUAUCUAAUCCUGUUCGCUCCCCAUGCUUUCGCUCCCCAGCGUCAGUUGCGGCCCAGAGACCUGCCUUCGCCAUCGGUGUUCCUCCUGAUAUCUGCGCAUUCCACCGCUACACCAGGAAUUCCAGUCUCCCCUACCGCACUCUAGUCUGCCCGUACCCGAUGCAAGCCCGAGGUUGAGCCUCGGGAUUUCACACCAGACGCGACAGACCGCCUACGAGCUCUUUACGCCCAAUAAUUCCGGACAACGCUUGCGCCCUACGUAUUACCGCGGCUGCUGGCACGUAGUUAGCCGGCGCUUCUUCUGCAGGUACCGUCACUUGCGCUUCUUCCCUGCUGAAAGAGGUUUACAACCCGAAGGCCGUCAUCCCUCACGCGGCGUCGCUGCAUCAGGCUUGCGCCCAUUGUGCAAUAUUCCCCACUGCUGCCUCCCGUAGGAGUCUGGGCCGUGUCUCAGUCCCAGUGUGGCCGGUCGCCCUCUCAGGCCGGCUACCCGUCGACGCCUUGGUAGGCCAUCACCCCACCAACAAGCUGAUAGGCCGCGAGCCCAUCCCCCACCGAAAAACUUUCCAACCCACACCAUGCGAUGCGAGCUCAUAUCCGGUAUUAGACCCCGUUUCCAAGGCUUAUCCCGAAGUGGAGGGCAGGUUGCUCACGUGUUACUCACCCGUUCGCCACUGAUCCACCCAGCAAGCUGGGCUUCAC
rnacentral:rRNA from 1 species